CUUGGCUCUGCAUCCCCUGUGUCCCGGUGAUUUCGCGACCCUUACCCAGCGACCCGAACGCACUAGACGUUCACAAUUGGCGCCCGAACAGGGACCCUGCUGGAUUGUCAGGAAGGAAAAUGGACACCGGCAGUGGCUCCCAGGGCGGUGAAUCCAGACCCGUCACAAUCAGAACGGCACCAAGGGGGGCACCCUAUCCACUACCCCA
rnacentral:lncRNA from 1 species